rnacentral:lncRNA from 1 species
AAUAUUCUUGGGUUUGUUCCAGGGAAGAAGAUGCUUGAGUGAUAGCUUUAGUGCUCAAUUGACCAUCAGCUGCGAGAUCGUUCAGACAUGCACCCACUGAGUUGAGGCCUUGACAUUCAAGAACUUGUGAAGCUGAGAGAGACAAGAGCUCCUGCAACUUAACAAAAGCAUUUGAUUCAUCCGUUGAUACGAAGGAGUCGGUUGUACCUACCAAAGGGCCAGCCACUCCUGAAGUAUUCAAAAAAAGAACAUCGAACUCAACUUCCCAUGAAGGCUACACAUGAAAAGAAUUUAGGCAAAGGGAAAAUGUAAAAGAGUAUAGCAGAAUGAAUUUGUUUUUAGACAUACUGAGAAGAGACUUCGACCAUGUUUCCUGGUUCAUUGCUCAAACCUAGAGAGCUUAAUGGCCGAGCCAGUGUUUUAGAUUGCUUCUCAAUUCACGCAGCCGAUAAAGGUUAUCUACGUUUGACGGCCACUGAGGUGGCCAGGAAAUAUAGAUAAUGCCAUUCGGCGCAUAAAAUUUUUGGUGAAAUGAAUAAUUGGGCACCUAACAUUUAUUAUAUUUCUAGGUUUAGACUCGUUAUUGCAAAGUUCACAAGAGAAAGUAAUCGAGUCUUACAAAAGCCAAAGUCGCUUCUUAAGGGGGAAUGCCAAGGUCUUGAUCUUGCGAGUGAACUGGUGUUUCUGUCGUCACUUCAGGCUCGACAUAAGGCCUUUUUCCACGAUCGGUUGUAGGAGAAUCUACCUGGUCAGUCGCCUCAAUGAUAGGGGGCUCGAUGGAAGGAGGUUUGGUUAGUCGAGGGCGACUCGCCAGCGGAAUCUCGUCGUUCUCGUCAUCCUGAAAUAAAAAACUGUUAAUACUUUUGAAUUUAAUGAGAGAAUGGAGAUACCAACAACAUAAUCAUACCUCUUCCAAGAUGAUCGCUGAUUGUUUUGGAUUUUUAGGGAGACUUUUCCCUACUGAAGGGGGUUACCUCUUCCAAGACGGGUGCAACGGUCAACCCUGGAGCUGCAGGCUUUCCAACCAGUGGUGCAGCAACUCGUUUAACCACUGAUGCGAAAAUUAACUUAACACACAAAUUAAACCCUCUUGUUGACAAUUGUAGUAUGGAUAAGUAGGGAUCGUUCUGGACCGGGGAUUAGGAGGGAUUGGUAAUCUACUCUAAACUGACUUAGAAACACAAAAAUAAACUUAAAAACACUUAACAAGACUCACAAGACUCAAAACAAACUUAAAAGACUCAAAACUGCCUAAAAACAACACUUAGGCAGUUUCUGCUACUAACACAAGUUUUGGACGAAAAUUGAUUAUAUCUUGACUCAAAACACUUAAAAACACAAUCUAAAACAAGUUCUAACUAAUAUGACUCAAUAUAGAUAGGGGGAUUUUGGUUUUGGACGAAAAUAAGGAAAACAAAGCAACAAUUAAAACUAAACAGAUUUGCACGAAAUUUGUUGAAUUAGAUGGAUGAUGGGCUAGCUAGAGAGUUCUUCUCCACACAUGACACACUUGCAUUCAAAUUGAUUUCCAAUUGCUUCUCUUAAUAAGUCAUGAAACUCAAUACUCCAGGUUAACUGUGACAACACUUUUUUAACCUUCAAGUUCUCCUUAAGUUAAUGAAUUGGAUGGGAAAGCGCAUACAACAAUUCAAAGCAUUCUCUAAAAGUCCCCUACGUGAAAAGCACAAUAAAGGUACAAUCAAAGAUCAUUAAGUUUCAUGAAAACUAUAAGCAUUGACAAGGCAAUUGUAACUAUGAAAAGCAUGAAACUUUUGCCAAGAAUUCACUUAAUACGAUCGUUUAUAAGCGACCUCCACUACUUGCAAAUAUAAGUUUGUAACUAUUAGGUGAAACUCCCUUAUAUUUUAGCUUCAAAUCCUUGCAUGAAAACUUAGUGUGCACUCUUAAUAAACAUACAAGAAUAAGUUAUCAAUCAAACAGUUAAGCAAAUUGAAUUCACAACUUAUGAAAUAACAACUGAAGGUAAUCAAUUCAUAAUGCAAGUAUAAUCAUGGUAUUGAAUAGCCCCUAGCCAAGAAGGGCUUAGUUCCUCAUAAACGCAAAACAAAGAUACAUAAAUUUAGACAUUGAAAACAAAGAAUGAAAACACCUAAAAACGCUCCAGCAAUCCAAAUUGAAUGGCGAGCAUGUCCAAGGGUCUCCUUCCUUCUUCUUUGGUGCGGCACAAGGGAUGGGUGAAGGUUUCUGUGGUGAUUUGUGGUGGUGGAUAGAUAUAGGUUGGUUAUGGUGAAGGGUGGAGUCGCUGAAGAGAAGAGCCCCCUAGAACUUGCGACAAAUGGUAGUAUAUAUAGGCUAAGGCACGGUUUUGAUGUGUUUUAGGGAAAGAAAUAGCUUAGCUAUCUUUGAAGGAAAAAUUUUGUCCUAGCUAAGAACAAGUAUGAACAUUUGAAUACUCAU